AUUGAACGCUGGCGGCAUGCUUUACACAUGCAAGUCGAACGGCAGCGCGGGCUUCGGCCUGGCGGCGAGUGGCGAACGGGUGAGUAAUGCAUCGGAACGUGCCCAGUAGUGGGGGAUAGCCCGGCGAAAGCCGGAUUAAUACCGCAUACGACCUGAGGGUGAAAGCGGGGGACCGAAAGGCCUCGCGCUAUUGGAGCGGCCGAUGUCGGAUUAGCUAGUUGGUGGGGUAAAGGCUUACCAAGGCGACGAUCCGUAGCUGGUCUGAGAGGACGACCAGCCACACGGGGACUGAGACACGGCCCAGACUCCUACGGGAGGCAGCAGUGGGGAAUUUUGGACAAUGGGGGCAACCCUGAUCCAGCAAUGCCGCGUGCGGGAAGAAGGCCUUCGGGUUGUAAACCGCUUUUGUUCGGGAAGAAAUACUCUGGGCUAAUACCCCGGGGGGAUGACGGUACCGGAAGAAUAAGCACCGGCUAACUACGUG
rnacentral:rRNA from 1 species